AAUCAGUUUCUCUCUGUUUGUUCAUCCAGGGUAUCAAUGAAGAAGAUGAGUUUCUGAAGGAGAUCAAAAUUGACCAUGGAGAACUAAAAGAGAUGAAGAGGAAGAAGAGGAGGAACGAGAAACGAACAUAGAAAAUAAGUGGUUCGACCAAGUUGCCUACAUCCACUGUGCAAAGGGAAGGCCCAAGAGUUUAAUGUUCAGCCAAAAGAAAUUCAAAAAACAAGCCCAAAUGGAAAAUUUGUGAUGUAGAAAGAGCCAUGCAGCUUCACUUGGAUCUCGCAUGUGGUUGUCACUAAUGAUGAAGGUAUUGAUGAAGAAGAUGAUGCUGAUUCACCGAGUUUCUGAAGGAGAUCAAGAUCGACCAUGGAGAACUAAAAGAGAUGAAGAAGAAGAAUAAGAAUAAGAGAAACGAGAAAGGAACUCAGAAAUUAAGCGAGUUUACAAGAGACUAAGAAGGCUAAUGGUGAGCUUGGAGGUUACAACAGAAAUCAGGCAGCGCAAAUAAAAAAUUGUGGAUCCACGAACAUUGACGUCGAGUCAACCCACAAAAAAAACCCACGGAUAGAUGGUUGAAACACGACGGAUGGAGGUGCUAAACAGACAGAAGGGUGAAAUAGAACGACUGAAAGAAGACAGACGGCCAAUAGUGGCGGUGCUGAAGACUACGGAGGAAGACAAGGAGCUAUGCUGAAGAACAAAUCAGUGGCGAUGAAAAAGUCAGGACUUGUCGGCGGCGCUAAACGUUUUGUCUGGGAACAGAGUCGAGGCUGAAGGCGAACGAAUGAAACCCUAGAGAUGAAUGAACGAAACCCUGAAGGCUGAAGGUUGUUCGCUAGAGGAUAGAUCGUCGAAGGUUAUUGAGUUAGCGGCUAUUGCAGGUCAUCGUCGCUGUGGGCGUCGUGUUGUUGGUUGCUGGAGGAUGGAGCCUGACCCCAGAGAAGAAGAACCAAGGUGUAGCUAAAGGUGGAAGAAACCAAAGGGACAGAAGGGUGUAGGAGGCUGCAACUUUGAUCUUUAAUUUAGGGUUUCACCCUAUUUUACCUAAGAUAAAAAUAAUAAUUAAUAAUUUAUCCUAUUUAAUGACAGUUAAUAAAUGUCAUAAAUUAGUAUCAUUUAAAAAAUGUCAUAGAUGAACAAAAAUCUGAAAACCUCCAUUUUUUCCGUAUAAAAA